UACGUAGGGACCAAGCGUUGUUCGGAUUUACUGGGCGUAAAGGGCGCGUAGGCGGCAAUUCAAGUUAGCUGUGAAAUCUCCGAGCUUAACUCGGAACGGUCAGCUGAUACUGUUUUGCUAGAGUACAGAAGGGGCAAUCGGAAUUCUUGGAUGUAGCGGUGAAAUGCGUAGAUAUUGGGAAAAACACCGGUGGCGAAGGCGGCGACCUGGUCCGUGACUGACGCUGAGGCGCGAAAGCGUGGGGAGCAAACAGG
rnacentral:rRNA from 1 species